CUAAGCCCCGAGCUUUGCCAGGCAGAAUGUCUACGAUGGGAAACAGUCAGGCUUGAGUGCUCACACACCCACAACCCAGCUGCAAGUCAAAAGACAUGAAAUAGAAGACGGCAGCAUUAUGGAAUCACUGAAUAAGGACACCAGUUCCGUGAGCGUCACAUGACUGUGUCACAUGAUGCAGGGAAGUUUUUAUCCCUGUGGUGCCUGGGAGGCCUCCAAACCCAGAGUGGCCUCACCACAUUUCCCACAGCCGUCUGGGGAAUGGACUGUGGACCUGAAGGUAUGUGUGAGGCACAACACUGAAGCACUAAGGCUGUCUUAGGAUAAAAGCACAGAGAAAUUCCCCGGUUCUUA